rnacentral:rRNA from 1 species
UACAGAGGCCACAAGCGUUAGUCGGAAUCACUGGGCUUAAAGGGUGCGUAGGCGGAGUUGUAAGUGUUCUGUGAAAGCCCCCGGCUCAACCGGGGAACAGCAGGGCAUACUGCAAUUCUCGAGGAACGUAGGGGCGGGCAGAACAGUAGGUGGAGCGGUGAAAUGCGUAGAUAUCUACUGGAAUGCCGAUGGGGAAGCCGGCCCGCUGGGCGUUUCCUGACGCUGAGGCACGAAAGCGUGGGGAUCAAACAGG